rnacentral:lncRNA from 1 species
CUCAGUUUGCCAUUGGUUGGAAUGGUAGGCCUCUGAUCUUAACCCAUAACUUGUCAUGCUGAGAAGAAAGUUUUUCCUUGCAAAGAUGUGCCCAGUCUUUGAAGAGGAGAAUAAUUUCAUUGGCCGAGGUAGAUAGAGAGCAAUGCUUGUUGAGAAAAAUUUGCGAGUUUCUUUCUUUCCAAACAACUCAAGUAACAGCUGCCACC